rnacentral:rRNA from 1 species
AUUGAACGCUGGCGGCAGGCCUAACACAUGCAAGUCGAGCGAGCGGCGGACGGGUGUGUAAUGUCUGGGAAACUGCCUGUUGUAGGGGGAUAUCUACUGGAAACGGUAGCUAAUACAGCAUACCAUCACAUGUGUCCAGAUGGGAUUGGCUAGUAGGUGGGGGAAUGGCUCACCUCGGCGACGAUCCCUCGCUGGUCUGAGAGGAUGACCAGCCACACUGGAACUGAGACACGGUCCAGACUCCUACGGUAGGCAGCAGGGGGGAAUAUGGCACAAUGGGCGCAAGCCUGAUGCAGCCAUGCCGCGUGUGUGAAGAAGGCCUUCGGGUUGUAAAGCACUUUCAGCGGGGAGGCGUUACCCGCAGAAGAAGCACCGGCUAACUCCGUGCCAGCAGCCGCGGUAAUUC